rnacentral:rRNA from 1 species
GUGUCAGCAGCCGCGGUAAUACGGAGGGUGCAAGCGUUGUCCGGAUUCACUGGGUUUAAAGGGAGCGCAGGCGGAUUGGUAAGUCAGUGGUGAAAGGCUUGAGCUUAACUCGGGAACUGCCAUUGAUACUAUCAUUCUUGAAUAUUGUUGAGGUUUGCGGAAUGGGUCAUGUAGCGGUGAAAUGCAUAGAUAUGCCAUAGAACACCAAUUGCGAAGGCAGCUGGCUAGACCUGUAUUGACGCUGAGGCACGAAAGCGUGGGGAGCGAACAGGAUUAGAUACCCUGGUAGUCCACGCCCUAAACGAUGCUUACUCGACGUAUGGCACUAGUUGUUGUGCGUCCAAGGGAAACCGUUAAGUAAGCCACCUGGGGAGUACGACCGCAAGGUUGAAACUCAAAGGAAUUGACGG